GUACCCAGACACCUGAUUAAACACUAUUAUAGAUAUUUCUAUGAUGGUAUUUUUUAGAUGAUAUUAACAUUUAAAUCAGUGAGCUGAGUGAAACAGAUAACGUGGGUGGGCCUCCUCCAAUCAGUUGAAGGCCUUAAUAGAAAAAAAAACAAAAACAAAAAAACUGACCUCCCCCUUAAUAUAAAAAGACUGAAGAAGAAGGAUUUCUGCCAGAAAACUGCAUUUGGACUUGAACUACAACUCUUCUCUGGAUCUCCAACCUGCCCGCCUACCACUUUCAUAACUUCUCUCUCCUGCUGCCUUGUGAAGAAGGACGUGUUUGCUUCCAUUUCUGCCAUGACUGUAAGUUUCCCGAGGCCUUCCCAGCCAUGUGGAACUGUGAGUCAAUUAAACCUCUUUCCUUUAUAAAUUACCCAGUCUUGGGUAUUUCUUCACAGCAGCACAAGAACAGACUAACAAACACGGUGAGUCCUUUUAAGAGCACAGCACAGGGAUGGUGUUGACAACAUGGCUCCUCCUUGAGAUAUUUCUUGUGAAUGGAUUGUUUGUUUUGGUGCCUAGCUAGUGUGUAACAUGACAACUUCAUAAGCUGUUUAAACCAUUCAUUAAAAUUUUUUUUAGCUACUAAAGCAAAGAGAAGAAAGGCAGAGAACAAUAAAGUAAUAUCCAAGGAUAGAGUAAUAUUCUAGCCAGAACACAGAGCCAGCCCUCAAAAAAGCUAAUUCAGAGGGCAUCAGCCAUUCAUGGAUCCUUUCAGGCCAUCAUCACUAAACAGAAUCACAGACGUAGUCUGGACCCUGUUUGCAAGUCUGCUUUGCUCAAUAGUUGAUGGGGCAGGAAGGCUCUUUUGGCCACUUGUUUUUACCAGUGGUGAGGCAACAGGAAUGUGAUGGCUGAAGAUGAUUUUCUAUGCUGUGUUUGUUUCCCAGCCGUAUAGAGAGGUAAUUGUUUUAUCAUGAUUUUGUUGUGUCUUCUGGAACUUGGGAGGCUCAGGCAGUUCCACAUUUAGGCAGUAAAGAUGUACAGAGAGUUACAACCCUGAGAGUAACUCCCAUCAGCAAGGGCCAUUUAUUUGGUAUCGGUAAACUACUAUCACCCUAUGAGAUCAUCAUCACCAUAAUGUUGUAGCUAUCAUCUUCAUCUCCAUCCUCAGUCUGAUGGCGGACAAAUGAAGAUAUGUAUGGAAAACCAAUGGCUGAAGUUGUUAGCCUUUCCAUCCUCAAACACCUUCUGAGUUCUUUUUGCCUUGAGCUGAUAUGGCUCUGAUUUGACCCACUCAUUUGUUGCUCUUCACAUUCAAAUUUUGAGUGGAGUUUGUCUGUCUUUAGCUGGAUGGUAAGCUCUUUAGAGAUGCCACUCAGGCAUUCUCCCUAUAGAUAGAUACUUUACGGCUGCUCUGGGUCAGGCACAGUUCCUGGG
rnacentral:lncRNA from 1 species